CCGGCUAACUCCGUGCCAGCAGCCGCGGUAAUACGGAGGGUGCGAGCGUUAAUCGGAAUUACUGGGCGUAAAGCGCACGCAGGCGGUUUGUUAAGCUAGAUGUGAAAGCCCCGGGCUCAACCUGGGAAUAGCAUUUAGAACUGGCAGGCUAGAGUCUUGGAGAGGGGAGUGGAAUUCCAGGUGUAGCGGUGAAAUGCGUAGAUAUCUGGAGGAACAUCAGUGGCGAAGGCGACUCCCUGGCCAAAGACUGACGCUCAUGUGCGAAAGUGUGGGUAGCGAACAGGAUUAGAUACCCUGGUAGUCCACACCGUAAACGCUGUCUACUAGCUGUUUGUGGAUAUUAUCCGUGAGUAGCGAAGCUAACGCGCUAAGUAGACCGCCUGGGGAGUACGGCCGCAAGGUUAAAACUCAAAUGAAUUGACGGGGGCCCGCACAAGCGGUGGAGCAUGUGGUUUAAUUCGAUGCAACGCGAAGAACCUUACCUACUCUUGACAUCCAGAAAAUUUGGCAGAGAUGCCUCAGUGCCUUCGGGAAUUCUGAGACAGGUGCUGCAUGGCUGUCGUCAGCUCGUGUCGUGAGAUGUUGGGUUAAGUCCCGCAACGAGCGCAACCCUUGUCCUUAGUUGCCAGCAUUUAGUUGGGCACUCUAAGGAGACUGCCGGUGACAAACCGGAGGAAGGUGGGGACGACGUCAAGUCAUCAUGGCCCUUACGAGUAGGGCUACACACGUGCUACAAUGGCGAGUACAGAGGGAAGCGAGACAGUGAUGUGGAGCGGACCCCUUAAAGCUCGUCGUAGUCCGGAUCGGAGUCUGCAACUCGACUCCGUGAAGUCGGAAUCGCUAGUAAUCGCGAAUCAGAAUGUCGCGGUGAAUACGUUCCCGGGCCUUGUACACACCGCCCGUCACACCAUGGGAGUUGGUUCUACCCGACGACGCUGCGCUAACCUUCGGGGGGCAGGC
rnacentral:rRNA from 9 species